GACGGAGGAUGCAAGCGUUAUCCGGAAUGAUUGGGCGUAAGGCGUCCGCAGGUGGCAGUUCAAGUCUGCUGUCAAAGACCGGGGCUUAACUUCGGAAAGGCAGUGGAAACUGAACAGCUAGAGUAUGGUAGGGGCAGAGGGAAUUCCCGGUGUAGCGGUGAAAUGCGUAGAGAUCGGGAAGAACAUCGGUGGCGAAAGCGCUCUACUGGACCGCAACUGACACUCAGGGACGAAAGCUAGGGGAGCGAAUGGG
rnacentral:rRNA from 1 species